GUUUUUUCUUCGCAUGCUUAUUCCUCAAAACAAUUCCCUUCGACCCGACGAGGGUCGAAGCCACUGAUCGAGGGAAGGUGCCCUUCCCAUAGAGCUCUAAAAUUGGACAAAAGUAAAAAAAAAUCAAUUUUUUCGGAACCUUUCUAACGAAAGGAACUACUCUAUCCCGAACAACGGUCGGUCGGUUUGGAAACCUCGACCUCCCUCUCUUCACACAUUGUGCUCGUGGUAUU
rnacentral:lncRNA from 1 species